GCCAGCAGCCAUAUCACUCUGCAGCUCCCAGCUGGCAGCCCACUGAAGCCCAGCAGGUGUGAGCCUGGUCAGUACCUGGAUGGGAGACCUCCUGGGAAAAACUAAGGUUGCUGCUGGAA
rnacentral:rRNA from 1 species